CUAAUUAGGCUCCAACUCCGACCCUCCUCCGACCCAGAGUCGGAUUUUUUAAACGAAGUCAGAUUCAAAUUAUUAUUUCUCUUCGGAUUUUUUUCUUCAAAUCGGAUCGGACUAGAAGCGAAUUCGAUUAGAUUGCCAUCCCACUAGGCAACUUAGAAGAAGGAUCACCAAGAGUCCAAGAUUUAUGCUCUCUUAUUCUAAUUAUUUAUGGCUAGACUCUAGUCUAGGCAUCAUCCCCUACACCCCUCUCUAAACACAUCGUUUAACACCCCUUCCCCCAUCUACCUACUUUCAUAGUUUCUGCAGUAUUAUACCCUCACAAAAUGCAGCAUACUAUUACUCCCUAAAAUCCUAAAAAAAUUUCAGUAACUUCCUCUACCCCACAAAUAUAUAUACCCAAAAAAAAAAAAAAAAAAAACAUCUUGUUCUCUCUUUAUUUUCCCUCUCCAUUAUCUCUCUCAUCUAAGCUUUAAAACUUCAACCAUGGCGGACAUUAGAGACGAAGUCAAACAACCGAAGCAAAUUUCACCGAAAAAAAGUAGCGAAAAUCAAAAGAGAAACAAAUUGAUAGUUUAAUAACUGAAAAUGUAUAUAUUUUGGAGAAAUCUAUUUCAGAGAACAGAAACAACGAUUCUUCAAAAAUGUAAGUAUAUUACUCAAACUUCUUAAAUUUAC